GUAUGGUUGCAAAGGCUGAAACUUAAAGGAAUUGACGGAAGGGCACCACCAGGAGUGGAGCCUGCGGCUUAAUUUGACUCAACACGGGAAAACUCACCCGGCCCGGACACUGUGAGGAUUGACAGAUUGAUAGCUCUUUCUUGAUUUGGUGGUUGGUGGUGCAUGGCCGUUCUUAGUUGGUGGAGCGAUUUGUCUGGUUAAUUCCGAUAACGAACGAGACUCUAGCCUGCUAAUUAGUACGCCUGUCCUCUGUUCCUGUGCUGGCGGCGCUUUGGUGAAACUGCUCACGUAAGCCGACUACUAUUGGGACGUGUUCUUGCGUGUGCUGCGAGCUCCUUGCGGGCGGUGGUGCGCGUGGGGACGUGAACUGUGGUGGAAGGUGUGUGCGGUGGGUCCGGUGCUUGCCUCCGGGUAC
rnacentral:rRNA from 1 species